GCCCUCUCAGGGUCACACCUGGAGAGUUCGCAGUCCUCUACCAGUCUCGACUACAGGAGGGAGAGUCAGGCAGAGGCAUUUCCAUUCCUAGCUUGGGCAGUGGCUAGCGAGUGGAAGGCAAUCCGCUACAAGU